GACGAACCGUGCGAACGUUAUUCGGAAUCACUGGGCUUAAAGGGCGCGUAGGCGGGCUCGCAAGUCAGGGGUGAAAUCUUUCAGCUUAACUGGAAAACAGCCCCUGAUACUGCGAGUCUCGAGGGAGGUAGGGGCAUGUGGAACUUCCGGUGGAGCGGUGAAAUGCGUAGAUAUCGGAAGGAACGCCGGUGGCGAAAGCGACGUGCUGGACCUCUUCUGACGCUGAGGCGCGAAAGCUAGGGGAGCAAACGGG
rnacentral:rRNA from 1 species